rnacentral:rRNA from 1 species
AAUUAAACCAAAUGGGAUUCUGUUAGUAAUUGCGAAUGAACAUAGACAUGCUUAGCUUGAUAAAUGGAGCCUCUGGCUUUGAAUUGUGUUUGUGAACAUGUAUUACCAACAGAGGUGUGGGUGUUAGCGUAUUGGAAGAAAGUGUCAAUGAAGGUGAGAGUCCUUGUUGUCAUGUGCAGCCCUCUGUGCACGGAGUAUGUUUGGUGAGUCACACUCCUUGGCAUUGGAAUGCAAAUUGGGUGGUAAGUUUCAUGCACAGGUAAAUACAUGAUUGAGACUGAUAGCGCACAAGUACCAUGAGGGAAAUAUGAAAAGGACUUUGAAAAGAGAGUUAAAUGAGUUUGCACUUGCUGAACAGAAAGUAAACAGAUUUGAUUAUACUGCGUGAGAUUGUGGUGUUUGCUUUGCAUGUCGAUGUGAAUUGCAAAUGCAAUGUUUGUUGCUGUGUGUGCUAGUUAUUUGUGCAUGUGCUGACCAUUGCACAUGAAUGGUAAUAUCUCUGCGGGGGGUGAUUGUAUGUGCAUGCAUGCAUGUGUGCUCAGGCAUGUGUUUGGUGAUGGUGUGUUGGUAUGUGUGUGUGUGUUCUGUGCUGGGUGUUGUUCGCUGUAUGGGCCCACAAGCUUUAACACUGACUUGCUGGUAAUA